ensembl:lncRNA
GUAAAACUACUCUAUGAUGCUAUAAUGGUAGACACCUGUCCUUAAGCAUGUGUGCAAACACACGGAGUGUUUAGCUCCAAGAGUGAACCCUAAUGUCACCAUGGACUUUGGGGGACUCUGCUGUGUCAUCAUAGGUUCAUCAGCUGUACAAAUGUGUCACUGUGUUGGGGAAGGUUGAUAAUGGGGAGGCUUAUGCAAGGGUGAGGUGGCAAUCUUGGCACCUUCUGGGCCAUAUCAUUGUGAACCUAAAACUGCUCUAAAAGUUCUUGCAGUACCCUGGAACAUCAUUCAUCAUAGCCAGGGUGAAUUUGCUGUACACAGGAGUGAUCCUUCUCGUCUGCCAUGUCCAUGGGUGUGUGAGAAAUCUACAAUGGAGCCGAAAGAAUUGUAUCUUCUCGGUCCAUAUUCAGAAGGUCUCUAAGUCCAGGAUGACAGGAAAAUCUUCAGUGGUUCCAGAGACAAGCAGCUGGAAAUCCUGCGCAUUUAUUUCCUAGAAGGAAGUGAGCUGAUGAGGAGAGUGAUCCCUUCAGAGAGAUCCUCUCUUUUAAAAAUGGACUCCAAGUUAAGCCAUAUCCAUUUCUGGGACCCUGAUGUGGCUCUCAAAAGCGGAUGUCACUUGCUUAAUGUUAAGUGAUUUCAAAAGCCUUAAUCGGGAGAGUAAAGGUGGGGAGGAAGAUGGUGAAUAAAUUGUGAGCACCUACCAAGUAAUGGGACAUGUCUUUAAUUCUUAAGCAUCAUGUUCUAUUUCACUUUGUUAUUUCAAUUUAAAAAAAGAAAAAGAUAAAUUUUAAAAGAUAAAUUUUUGCUAUUAGUAUUCUGUACUUAAUAUCUGAGUACAGAUCCAUCAUUUAUUAGGUC